AGCUUGCUCCCUGAUGUUAGCGGCGGACGGGUGAGUAACACGUGGGUAACCUGCCUGUAAGACUGGGAUAACUCCGGGAAACCGGGGCUAAUACCGGAUGCUUGUUUGAACCGCAUGGUUCAAACAUAAAAGGUGGCUUCGGCUACCACUUACAGAUGGACCCGCGGCGCAUUAGCUAGUUGGUGAGGUAAUGGCUCACCAAGGCAACGAUGCGUAGCCGACCUGAGAGGGUGAUCGGCCACACUGGGACUGAGACACGGCCCAGACUCCUACGGGAGGCAGCAGUAGGGAAUCUUCCGCAAUGGACGAAAGUCUGACGGAGCAACGCCGCGUGAGUGAUGAAGGUUUUCGGAUCGUAAAGCUCUGUUGUUAGGGAAGAACAAGUACCGUUCGAAUAGGGCGGUACCUUGACGGUACCUAACCAGAAAGCCACGGCUAACUACGUGCCAGCAGCCGCGGUAAUACGUAGGUGGCAAGCGUUGUCCGGAAUUAUUGGGCGUAAAGGGCUCGCAGGCGGUUUCUUAAGUCUGAUGUGAAAGCCCCCGGCUCAACCGGGGAGGGUCAUUGGAAACUGGGGAACUUGAGUGCAGAAGAGGAGAGUGGAAUUCCACGUGUAGCGGUGAAAUGCGUAGAGAUGU
rnacentral:rRNA from 1 species